UAGGAUCAAAUAACAAGUUUGAUCUUCUUACUUUUCUAUCUAGUUUUCAUUCAUUAUACCAUUUUGCAUUUUGGAAAUUGUUUUGUUUUUUACACCAUCCAUAAGAAAGGUAUGCACUAUUUUUCUUGUUUAAUUUUAUUAUGAAACUAUAUAGAGCUAGAACGACUGACAUUCAUGUGAAAGACAAAGUGAAGUUCAAACUAAGACAUUUCUAAACCAAAAGACAUUUCUAAAUAAUACUCUCUAUAUGCUGUGUCUUUUCAAGCCCCAGUAGCAAAGAUUCCUUUUUUAUGCUUAUGUCCAUCACUGAUUUGGUACCAAUACAUGCAAUGCUAGGAAGUAUGUAUGCCAGAAUAUCAAUUAGAAUCUGCCUUGUCCCCAGGCAUCUAUAAUGAACUACAACAAAUAAACUAAUUCAUUGGGUGAGAAGCAGCACAAUCUUCAGUGGUCAGAGCACUGUGCUAGAUCUAUGGAGUACCUAUGAUUGCAUUUUUGGCGGCUGCUAAUGGUAAUCUCACAGAAUGCUUCAACUUGUAUAUUUUUAGGCUAUUUUUGGGUUGAUAUUAAAUCUGAGCACAAAUAACUUAUGAUUACAUGAAUUUCUUAAGUAACAAGUUCGGCUAUAUGUUGUCUGCCAUGACAUUUAUCUGCUAGGUGCUCGAGUAUGUCUUUAAUUCUGUUUCAAAUCGACAUUUCGUUGCAACUUUUCAGCAAACGUUUCCCCCAGUAACAUAACCUAAUGUGGAAUAAGUUCCUCAAUUAUGUUGUUCAUAUUUUUCCAAGGUUACACCAGGGAAGCAAGUCAAUAUUUGGUUGUUGGCUUUAAAGCUAUGUGGAGUGUCACCAAAAAUCGUAGAUGCAGCUAAAAUAAUAAUUUUGGAAAUUCUUGAAUUUCUAACUGACCUUGCAAUGUUUAUAUUUGUAUUGGUUAUUCUACAAAAUGUGAAGGAACUUUACGUGCAGAAUAAUUUUAUACCUAAAUAAUAAUUCUGCUAUUUUAUUUUUUACUCUUGGACUGAAAGUUGGACAACAUUUGACCCUUCUGAUUUAUUCUGAAUGUUAGAUUUUAGAUUAAAGAAUUCCGCCAAAGUUCAUGAUUUAUACUUCUGCACUGACAUGGUUUUAUUUCUGUGAUCUUGGAAUGUGCGAGAAGCGCAUGAAGCCUUCACAAGUAUUUUACUCCUUGGAAUUUCUAUCUGCUCUGACGCUUUGCUCAAAUAAAAACGAAAAAUAAAAAUAUAUUUCAAAUUAUUUUUGCCUUAACAUACCCAUAUAACAAAGUGAUGCAAUCCAUUCAACCCUACAUUUUUAUAAAAUUAGCAUCUCAAUAAUUUGUUUUCGUCAUAUAGUUGAGUCAUGCCAUUAGUUAUCAUAAUUUGCCACAUCGUGAUAAGCGAUCAUCAAAUUUCUUUACAUUUGAUUUAAAUUAACCAUAGUUAAUAGAAAGAUAAACUUUCUAUUAACUAUGAGUUAACACAAAGCCAUGUAUCUGGUAUUUGUUCUAUAAAUUGAUGCAACUUUAAAUGUGGCACCAAAGUGAAAAUCCAUCACAAGCAAUCCAUGAAAUCGUGCAGUGGCUUUAUUCUGCUUUCUAGCUUGUUUCUGCUGCUUUUCUUGUAACUUGGAUCAAGUGUUUUUAAAAACCACAUCUGUGUUUCGUUUACAUUGGAUUCAUCAAUUUCAAAAACAUUAAAUAAUUCAUGAGCGAAAACAUAAAAAAGAACGUGAUUGUUGUAUGACCGUUUCAUACAUACCUCGGCUAGUUCCGCCAUCUUGAAAACAUAAAAAACCUCGUGGUGGAGAUUUCCAGUAUCUUGAAUGAGUAUUGAGUAAUUGAUGAUAAAUACAAUAAAUACUAAUAAUAAAAUUUAAAUUGUUUGCCA